UACGUAGGGGGCUAGCGUUGUCCGGAUUUAUUGGGCGUAAAGAGCGUGUAGGCGGUUCGGUAGGUCCGUUGUGAAAACUCGAGGCUCAACCUCGAGACGCCGAUGGAAACCAUCGAACUAGAGUCCGGAAGAGGAGAGUGGAAUUCCUGGUGUAGCGGUGAAAUGCGUAGAUAUCAGGAGGAACACCGGUGGUGUAGACGGCUCUCUGGACCGUAACUGACGCUGAGACACGAAAGCGUGGGUAGCAAACAGG
rnacentral:rRNA from 1 species